ACUACAAACCGUGCUAUCGUCUUCCUGACUUGAGCAGGAAGAAGGAAAGUCUGGACAGCAUAGAGCAAUGCACCACCUAACGGGUGGGACUAUUUUCUGAAUAGUACAGCAAGUGCCACAGAAAAUGACCGCCUGUGCUCCGGUACAGGUAAGGGUGAAAAUGUGGGGUAAGAGCCCACGGUGUAGGCAGGUAACUGUUUAUGCGGGUAAACCUUGCGUGCUGAAAUGCCAUGUAUACGGUCGAUUGAGGGCUGCUCGUCCGAUGACCGAGGGUAGGCAGAUACAGGUGAUGUGUGAGCAUCAUCGUAGAUAAAUGGUAGCAGUUCUCCAGCUUGCUGGAGUUCACAGAAUCCGGCUUACAGGUUUGUAGUUUUU
rnacentral:RNase_P_RNA from 1 species